AGGGGUAUAGUUCAAUGGUAGAAUACCGGUCUCCAAAACCGUUGAUGUGGGUUCGACUCCUACUACCCCUGCCA
rnacentral:tRNA from 50 species